GUGACUGCGUACCUUUUGUAUAAUGGGUCAGCGACUUAUAUUCUGUAGCAAGGUUAACCGAAUAGGGGAGCCGGAGGGAAACCGAGUCUUAAUUGGGCGUUAAGUUGCAGGGUAUAGACCCGAAACCCGGUGAUCUAGCCAUGGGCAGGUUGAAGGUUGGGUAACACUAACUGGAGGACCGAACCGACUAAUGUUGAAAAAUUAGCGGAUGACCUGUGGCUGGGGGUGAAAGGCCAAUCAAACCGGGAGAUAGCUGGUUCUCCCCGAAAGCUAUUUAGGUAGCGCCUCGUGAAUUCAUCUCCGGGGGUAGAGCACUGUUUCGGCUAGGGGGCCAUCCCGGCUUACCAACCCGAUGCAAACUGCGAAUACCGGAGAAUGUUAUCACGGGAGACACACGGCGGGUGCUAACGUCCGUCGUGAAGAGGGAAACAACCCAGACCGCCAGCUAAGGUCCCAAAGUCAUGGUUAAGUGGGAAACGAUGUGGGAAGGCCCAGACAGCCAGGAUGUUGGCUUAGAAGCAGCCAUCAUUUAAAGAAAGCGUAAUAGCUCACUGGUCGAGUCGGCCUGCGCGGAAGAUGUAACGGGGCUAAACCAUGCACCGAAGCUGCGGCAGCGAACGUAUCACUUAAAGCGAUUCAGCGGGUUACGAUUGACGGAGCGAAGCGACGUC
rnacentral:rRNA from 1 species